rnacentral:sRNA from 1 species
UAUUCUGCCCCACGGGGAAGGAUGAGAAGCUUCGACCAAGGUUCGACUCGAGCGAAGCGAGAGAACGUUGCCGCAGGCAAUGGCCCGAAGGGCGAGGCGCUUUAGCGCCGAGUAAUCCUUCCCCCACCACCA